UACGGAAGGUGCAAGCGUUGUUCGGAAUGACUGGGCGUAAAGCGCACGUAGGCGGGUUCGCAAGUCGAAUGUGAAAGCCCCGGGCUCAACCCGGGAAUGGCAUUCGAAACUGUGAAUCUUGAAUGCUUAAGAGGUUGGCGGAAUUCCUGGUGUAGGAGUGAAAUCCGUAGAUAUCAGGAGGAAUACCGGCGGCGAAGGCGGCCAACUGGUGAUGCAUUGACGCUGAGGUGCGAAAGCGUGGGGAGCAAACAGG
rnacentral:rRNA from 1 species